AGUGAACGCUGGCGGUAGGCCUAACACAUGCAAGUCGAACGGCAGCACAGUAAGAGCUUGCUCUUACGGGUGGCGAGUGGCGGACGGGUGAGGAAUACAUCGGAAUCUACUUUUUCGUGGGGGAUAACGUAGGGAAACUUACGCUAAUACCGCAUACGACCUACGUGUGAAAGCAGGGGAUCUUCGGACCUUGCGCGAUUGAAUGAGCCGAUGUCGGAUUAGCUAGUUGGCGGGGUAAAGGCCCACCAAGGCGACGAUCCGUAGCUGGUCUGAGAGGACGAUAAGCCACACUGGAACUGAGACACGGUCCAGACUACUACGGGAGGCGCCAGUGGGGAAUAUUGGACAAUGGGCGCAAGCCUGAUCCAGCCAUACCGAGUGGGUGAAGAAGGCCUUCGGGUUGUAAAGCCCUUUUGUUGGGAAAGAAAAGCAGCAGGUUAAUACCCCGCUGUUCUGACGGUACCCAAAGAAUAAGCACCGGCUAACUUCGUG
rnacentral:rRNA from 1 species